UACGUAGGGGGCGAGCGUUGUCCGGAUUUAUUGGGCGUAAAGAGCGUGUAGGCGGCCAGGUAGGUCUGCUGUGAAAACUCGAGGCUCAACCUCGAGACGUCGGCGGAAACCAUCUGGCUAGAGUCCGGAAGAGGAGAGUGGAAUUCCUGGUGUAGCGGUGAAAUGCGCAGAUAUCAGGAAGAACACCCGUGGCGAAGGCGGCUUCCUGGACCGACACUGACGCUGAGGCGCGAAAGCUAGGGGAGCAAACGGG
rnacentral:rRNA from 1 species